CCCUAUGGGGUGCAGCAGGCGAGAAAACUUUGCAAUGUGCGAAAGCACGACAAGGUUAAUCCGAGUGGUUUGUGCUAAACGAACCUUUUGUCGGUCCUAGAAACACCGAUGAAUAAGGGGUGGGCAAGUUCUGGUGUCAGCCGCCGCGGUAAAACCAGCACCUCAAGUGGUCAGGAUGAUUAUUGGGCCUAAAGCAUCCGUAGCCGGCGCUAUAAGUUUUCGGUUAAAUCUGUACGCUCAACGUACAGGCUGCCGGGAAUACUGUAGCGCUAGGGAGUGGGAGAGGUAGACGGUACUCGGUAGGAAGGGGUAAAAUCCUUUGAUCUAUUGAUGACCACCUGUGGCGAAGGCGGUCUACCAGAACACGUCCGACGGUGAGGGAUGAAAGCUGGGGGAGCAAACCGGAUUAGAUACCCGGGUAGUCCCAGCUGUAAACUAUGCAAACUCAGUGAUGCAUUGGCUUGUGGCCAAUGCAGUGCUGCAGGGAAGCCGUUAAGUUUGCCGCCUGGGAAGUACGUACGCAAGUAUGAAACUUAAAGGAAUUGGCGGGGGAGCACCACAAGGGGUGAAGCCUGCGGUUCAAUUGGAGUCAACGCCAGAAAUCUUACCCGGAGAGACAGCAGAAUGAAGGUCAAGCUGAAGACUUUACCAGACAAGCUGAGAGGAAGUGCAUGGCC
rnacentral:rRNA from 1 species